rnacentral:misc_RNA from 1 species
GAUGAAGAACGCAUCGAAAUGCGAUAAGUAGUGUGAAUUGCAGAAUUCAGUGAAUCAUCGAAUCUUUGAACGCACAUUGCGCCCCUUGGUAUUCCAUGGGGCAUGCCUGUUCGAGCGUCAUUUGUACCCUCAAGCUUUGCUUGGUGUUGGGCGUCUUGUCGUAUUACGACUCGCCUUAAAUACAUUGGCAGCCGGCACUUUGGCCUAGGAGCGCAGCACAUUUUGCGAUCGUAGCCCGUUGUACUGGCGUCCAUCAAGAACAUUUACCACGUUUGACCUCGGAUCAGGUAGGGAUACCCGCUGAACUUAAGCAUAUCAAUAAGCGGAGGA